rnacentral:rRNA from 1 species
UAGUCAUAUGCUUGUCUCAAAGAUUAAGCCAUGCAUGUCUAAGUAUAAGCAACUAUACGGUGAAACUGCGAAUGGCUCAUUAAAUCAGUUAUCGUUUAUUUGAUAGUACCUUACUACAUGGAUAACCGUGGUAAUUCUAGAGCUAAUACAUGCUAAAAACCCCGACUUCGGAAGGGGUGUAUUUAUUAGAUAAAAAACCAAUGCCCUUCGGGGCUCCUUGGUGAAUCAUAAUAACUUAACGAAUCGCAUGGCCUUGCGCCGGCGAUGGUUCAUUCAAACUUCUGCCCUAUCAACUUUCGAUGGUAGGAUAGUGGCCUACCAUGGUAUCAACGGGUAACGGGGAAUUAGGGUUCGACUCCGGAGAGGGAGCCUGAGAAACGGCUACCACAUCCAAGGAAGGCAGCAGGCGCGCAAAUUACCCAAUCCCGACACGGGGAGGUAGUGACAAUAAAUACUGAUACAGGGCUCUUUUGGGUCUUGUAAUUGGAAUGAGUACAAUUUAAAUCCCUUAACGAGGAACAAUU